AGGAUAAACGCUGGCGGCGUGCUUCAGGCAUGCAAGUCGAACGGACACUCCGGUGUCAGUGGCGGACGGGUGAGUAACACGUAAGUAACCUGCCCAGAAGUGGGGAAUAACUGGCCGAAAGGCUGGCUAAUACCGCAUGUGAUGGUCUUUCCCUGGAGAGGUCAUUAAAGGCGAAAGUCGCUUCUGGAGGGGCUUGCGGCCGAUUAGUUAGUUGGUGGGGUAACGGCCUACCAAGACUGCGAUCGGUAGCUGGUCUGAGAGGACGGACAGCCACACGGGGACUGAGAUACGGCCCCGACUCCUACGGGAGGCAGCAGCUAGGAUCGUUGGGAAUGGGCGAAAGCCUGACCCAGCAACGCGCGUGCGCGAUG
rnacentral:rRNA from 1 species